GCAGCAUUCAGUAGAUGUUUGGUGGAUUACUCUCUGGAGGACCAGAAGCUUCUGGAACUGAAGGGACAGGAGGAGGGCACGGCACUGCAGUCAGCACUGAGUCCCUAGCGGAGUCUCUCACUGACGGGCUUGCUCAAACACAUCCCCAACCAUCCCCGUCAGCCUUUCUACCUGGCCACCUGGUCAGAGGAGCCAUGUAGGGUGUGGUCCAAGGUCAGCAGAAUGUGUUACAUUAUUUGUUUCAGUUAACGGUAUCGUGAAGCCACUGGCCUACGAAAUCUGGGCUGUCAAGAGGAAUGGCUGCAGAGCCAAGACAGUGGAUCUCAAGUCUUUAAUGUACGGAAUGUCUCCCCCUUUCCGACCUCCACUUCCCUGCCCCCGCCCACGAUGCCGGGGAUCGGGAAGGACUCCAGAAUCUGUAUUUGUACAAGAAACCAAGAUUAUGAUACUGUAGUUGGUCCACACCUUUCACAAAACUCUCCAAGGUCAUACGAUAACAAAACGUGAUUCAUCUACUACAGCAGAAGAUUGUCUCCCAGAACAGUUGGCGCCUCAUAGCUUGUGGUAGCUCCACACAUAGUUAGAAAUAUCUCUGCUGCUGAAGCCUCCGGAGCCCUUAAUAAGCCAAUGCAUACUGGGACUUUCCAGGAACCUCUGUGGAGCAGAACUGAGCAGAGGUGCCUACACACUCGUUUGAGAAACUGGGGAAGCAGCAAUGUGCAGAUCUUAUUGUCACUUUGAUCUCAGCUUUCAAAACAUACAACUUCUUCUCUAAGAGAAACACAAAUGGCUGAUCAAAGUGUAUUUGCAGAGGCCAAGUUCAGUUUCUGAAAAGCCCAAGAACGAAGAGUUGCGUGUCCAGCGGCACUCGCACGUGACACACUCAGUGCGAGGCCCUAGCCUCUGUGCGAGCUCCCGCAGUGCUGUUUGCUCUGCCAACCUGCGUUUCAGAAUGAAGCCAAAGCUCCAGUCCUCCAGUCCUGCUCUGAUGGCCUCAGCAAGCCGCGACUCUGGAAGGGGGCGUGGUGAACGUCUGUCACUCUUGGCAACGCAACCUCAAACCCCCUUUCUGUCUGGGGGUGCUCCUCUUGUACUGUUCUUGUGGUGACAUGCUGAACCCCUAGUUUCUUCUCCUGAAGCCCCAGGGGAGACACCUUCCUGUUCCCCAUCUCCCAGCGACCAGAAUGCAGGCAGGAUCUCAGCAGUCAGAGUGGACGCUCCUAACUGGAACUUUGUCUCUGGAGCCAGGAGCCGAAGCCAAGGGAACAGUGAAGAUUAAUUUCUGGCAGCAUGCCGGAGUGGCAGCACUGUCCCAACAUCCUGGCCAGGCUGUUCCAGAGGUCCACAGUCUGCGUUCCCUUGGUCUCUGCUCCGUUUUAAGCCCAUUCCUUCUGCCUCCUGUUGAUCCUGUGAGCACCAGACUUCCUUCCAAUAAAUCUCACCAGAGGUGAUGUCAACACCAGAUUUCCUUCCAAUAAAUCCCACUGGAGUUAGUGCCUGCUGCUUGCAACCAGAACCCUGCGCAACACAGGGCGGCCCUCUGUGAAGAAAAGGGCUUGUUUUUAUAAGGUCAAUGGGUUCUCACUUUCCUCGGCUCUCUCAGGGCCUGCAAAAACCCAGGCUAAGAGGGCCUGAGGGCCCAGCCCUCGCCCUUGCUGCCUAGUUCCUGGCCUUUCACGAGGGGGCUCGGGCCCCCUCCAUGUGUCACUUCAUGGAAGACGAAGUCUGGUCAGGUGGAGGAAGGCUGGGGAGCAAAAUGGGCUGUUUCACUCCAUCUUUCUCAAGUCCAAAGGACAUCUUGCCGAAGGGAAAGACGCAAAGCAAUACCAUGUGACUUUGACUAGAGCAGGCAAAGGACUCUAAGAUGCAAAAUGACUUUAUGUGCCACUUAGAAAAACAAUGACUGCUAAUUUAACUAUAACACAUCAUCAGUUUGAAUGUGAAAAAUCGUAAAUGCUGGAAUGGAUAAAAUAAUUUGUGGCUUAGAAAGGAAGAGAAAGUAGUUUCCAAAAGAUAAAAAGGAUGGCAAGGACACAGAAUCAGAUCUAAAUCGAGCCUGUGACUGUGCUGCUGUCGGUGAACAGACCUGAAGAGAGGCAAAGGCACUUUUUGUGUUUUGGUUUUUUUAGGUGUAUUGCUUUCAACUUAAGGACAGAUGCCCUAGCUACUAUAAAUAUUUCUGAUGAUGACUAUUUUA